UGUUUUCGGUGCCAACCUGACCCGAAUUACAUAGCCUGCAGACUCUAUCUUCAAAUGGGGUUCCGUCGUAUCGGCCUGUCUCGACUGGAAACCAGUGGUUAGCAGUCCUGAAUUGGAAUAGGGAAGGUGCUGGUGGAUGCUUGAUGGAAGACUGAUUGAAGCUCAUCAGUUAUGUGCUCUAUGGUCUGCUGCGAUUUGGGGUUGGAUGAGGGUUCUGUCCCCCCACUGGCCUAAUGGCUAUGGUUGCUGUCUGCUGUGGUCCUACUAUGGUUAUUGGACUGUGGAGUGUCCCUAGAGGGCACACGGUUAUCAGUACGCGCAGAAUCCCAGGGGCGUUGGAUGCUGGGCACAGAUGACUGGGUGUUCAGUGGAGUUCUGGGAGAUACUGGAGGAUGAUUACGAGCAUGAGCUUUUGAAGAAUUAGGAGAAGCAGACUGCGAGCGUCUUGAUACGUGUUCGGAAUUGGGAGUUGGAGUAUUGGGAGUGAUGACCACAGUUGUUUUCCUCUGGUUAGCAGAGGUUGUGAUAGGCUCUGGCGGGAUAUUGUUCCUGGCGCUUUGGGGAGGAGGGACACUGUGUGCCUGGUUGGACCGUGGUACUUCGGGGAUCGUGGCAGUUGGAGUAAUGGGAGUGGCGACCGCAGUUGUGUUCCUCCGGUUGCCAGAGGUUGUGAUAGAAGCCGGCGGGAUAUUGUUCCAGGUGCUUUGGCGAGAACGGAAACUGUGUGCCUGACUCGUCCCGAAGACUUCGGGGAUUGUGCGAACUCUGUUACCGUUGAGAAUUGAGUUCCAAUCAGGAUAUAUGUCCUCGACUACCCUUACAUCCAUAACUAUUUUUGCAGGGAAGACUAGUGCAAUUUUGCUGCGUGGAUUACUUUCACGGAGUUUUUUGUAUUUUGGCCAGAGCGUUUUCCGAGCUUGUGAGAUUUCUUUAGGGUAGUCUCGGUUUAUGCUGAAGUUUGACCCUGCUAAGUGUUUUGCAUGAGAGAGAACAUCUACUGUGUCUUGAAAGUUCAGGAAGUUCACAAUGAUACCCCUACUGUUGCUUGGAGAGAAUCUUCCAAGGCGGUGGGCUCGCUGGAUUAUUGGACGGUGCGUUAUCUGGAGCUGUUCGUCAAGAAAUUGACCU